AUUGAACGCUGGCGGCAGGCCUAACACAUGCAAGUCGAGCGAGCGGCGGACGGGUGAGUAAUGUCUGGGAAACUGCCUGAUGGAGGGGGAUAACUACUGGAAACGGUAGCUAAUACCGCAUACCAUCAGAUGUGCCCAGAUUGGAUUAGCUAGUAGGUGGGGUAACGGCUCACCUAGGCGACGAUCCCUAGCUGGUCUGAGAGGAUGACCAGGCAAACUGGACCUGAGACACGGUCCAGACCCGUACGGGAGGCAGCAGUGGGGAAGAUUGCACAAUGGGCGCAAGCCUGAUGCAGCCAUGCCGCUUGUGUGAAGAAGGCCUUCGGGUUGUAAAGCACUUUCAGCGGGGAGGCGUUACCCGCAGAAGAAGCACCGGCUAACUCCGUGCCAGCCGCCGCGGUAAUUC
rnacentral:rRNA from 1 species